rnacentral:rRNA from 1 species
CGGCGGACGGGUGAGUAAUACUUAGGAAUCUGCCUAUUAGUGGGCGACAACAUCUCGAAAGGGAUGCUAAUACCGCAUACGUCCUACGGGAGAAAGCAGGGGAUCACUUGUGACCUUGCGCUAAUAGAUGAGCCUAAGUCGGAUUAGCUAGUUGGUGGGGUAAAGGCCUACCAAGGCGACGAUCUGUAGCGGGUCUGAGAGGAUGAUCCGCCACACUGGGACUGAGACACGGCCCAGACUCCUACGGGAGGCAGCAGUGGGGAAUAUUGGACAAUGGGGGGAACCCUGAUCCAGCCAUGCCGCGUGUGUGAAGAAGGCCUUAUGGUUGUAAAGCACUUUAAGCGAGGAGGAGGCUUACCUAGUUAAUACCUAGGCUAAGUGGACGUUACUCGCAGAAUAAGCACCGGCUAACUCUGUGCCAGCAGCCGCGGUAAUACAGAGGGUGCAAGCGUUAAUCGGAUUUACUGGGCGUAAAGCGCGCGUAGGCGGCCAAUUAAGUCAAAUGUGAAAUCCCCGAGCUUAACUUGGGAAUUGCAUUCGAUACUGGUUGGCUAGAGUGUGGGAGAGGAUGGUAGAAUUCCAGGUGUAGCGGUGAAAUGCGUAGAGAUCUGGAGGAAUACCGAUGGCGAAGGCAGCCAUCUGGCCUAACACUGACGCUGAGGUGCGAAAGCAUGGGGAGCAAACAGGAUUAGAUACCCUGGUAGUCCAUGCCGUANACGAUGUCUACUAGCCGUUGGGGCCUUUGAGGCUUUAGUGGCGCAGCUAACGCGAUAAGUAGACCGCCUGGGGAGUACGGUCGCAAGACUAAAACUCAAAUGAAUUGACGGGGGCCCGCACAAGCGGUGGAGCAUGUGGUUUAUUCGAUGCCACGCGAAGAACCUUACCUGGCCUUGACAUAGUAGAAACUUUCCAGAGAUGGAUUGGUGCCUUCGGGGAUCUACAUACAGGUGCUGCAUGGCUGUCGUCAGCUCGUGUCGUGAGAUGUUGGGUUAAGUCCCGCAACGAGCGCAACCCUUUUCCUUACUUGCCAGCAUUUCGGAUGGGAACUUUAAGGAUACUGCCAGUGACAAACUGGAGGAAGGCGGGGACGACGUCAAGUCAUCAUGGCCCUUACGGCCAGGGCUACACACGUGCUACAAUGGUCGGUACAAAGGGUUGCUACCUAGCGAUAGGAUGCUAAUCUCAAAAAGCCGAUCGUAGUCCGGAUUGGAGUCUGCAACUCGACUCCAUGAAGUCGGAAUCG